rnacentral:rRNA from 1 species
AGCUUGAAGAGUAUAUAAAUUAUUUCAAGUAAUCCCUGCCCAGCGACAAUAGUUCAGCGGCCGCAGUACCUUGACUGUGCUAAGGUAGCAUAAUAACUUGUCCUUUAAUUAAGGUCUAGAAUGAACGGGGCUACGAGAGAUACUCUGUCUCCAGCAAAGUCUUUUAAAGUUACUAAGAAGGUGAAAAUUCCUUCUAUAAAGAAAAAAGACGAGAAGACCCUCAGAAUUUUUAUGAAAAUUAUUUUGUUAGUGAUUAAGUUUUCGUUGGGGCGACGAGGAGGCAAUCAUAACCCUCCUAUAAUAGUGAUAGAAUUUACCAAAGUUUCUUACAUAAAACUAAAUUACCUGAGGGAUAACAGCAUAAUACUUCUUAGUGUUUGUGACCUCGAUGUUGGACUAGGGUCUAAAUGGUUAGCCACCAAGAUAGAUAAUUCUGUUCGAAUUUAUUACCCU